GACGAACGCUGGCGGCGUGCUUAACACAUGCAAGUCGAACGGAAAGGCCUGCUUUCCCUUGUGGAUUGCGGGUACUCGAGUGGCGAACGGGUGAGUAACACGUGAGUGAUCUGCCCCCAACUUGGGUAUAAGCCUGGGAAACUGGGUCUAAUUCCCGAUAGGACUGCAGGGUGGUGCCUGUGGUGGAAAACGAUUUUCUAGUGGUUGGGGAUGAGCUCGCGGCCUAUCAGCUUGUUGGUGGGGUAAUGGCCUACCAAGGCGGCGACGGGUAGCCGGCCUGAGAGGGUGGACGGCCCCAUUGAGACUGAGAUACGGCCCAGACUCCUACGGGAGGCAGCAGUGGGGAAUAUUGCACAAUGGGCGGAAGCCUGAUGCAGCGACGCCGCGUGGGGGAUGACGGCCUUCGGGUUGUAAACUCCUUUCGACCGCGAGGAAGCCACCUGGUUGGAAGGGUGGUGACGGUAGUGGUAGAAGAAGCACCGGCUAACUACGUG
rnacentral:rRNA from 1 species